rnacentral:rRNA from 1 species
GCCAAAUAAUUUAACUUGGGAGUCAGAAUGUGGGUGAUAAGGUCCAUAUUCGAAAGGGAAACAGCCCAGACCACCAGCUAAGGUCCCAAAAUAUAUGUUAAGUGGAAAAGGAUGUGGCGUUGCCCAGACAACUAGGAUGUUGGCUUAGAAGCAGCCAUCAUUUAAAGAGUGCGUAAUAGCUCACUAGUCGAGUGACACUGCGCCGAAAAUGUACCGGGGCUAAACAUAUUACCGAAGCUGUGGAUUGUCCUUUGGACAAUGGUAGGAGAGCGUUCUAAGGGCGUUGAAGCAUGAUCGCAAGGACAUGUGGAGCGCUUAGAAGUGAGAAUGCCGGUGUGAGUAGCGAAAGACGGGUGAGAAUCCCGUCCACCGAUUGACUAAGGUUUCCAGAGGAAGGCUCGUCCGCUCUGGGUUAGUCGGGUCCUAAGCUGAGGCCGACAGGCGUAGGCGAUGGAUAACAGGUUGAUAUUCCUGUACCACCAUUAUUCGUUUUAAGCGAUGGGGGGACGCAGUAGGAUAGGCGAAGCGUGCUGUUGGAGUGCACGUCCAAGCAGUGAGAUUGAGUGUUAGGCAAAUCCGGCACUCUUAAGAUUGAGCUGUGAU